GAUGAACGCUGGCGGCGUGCCUAAUACAUGCAAGUCGAGCGAACGGACGAGAAGCUUGCUCCCCUGAUGUUAGCGGCGGACGGGUGAGUAACACGUGGAUAACCUACCUAUAAGACUGGGAUAACUUCGGGAAACCGGAGCUAAUACCGGAUGAUAUUUUGAACCGCAUGGUUCAAAAGUGAAAGACGGUCUUGCUGUCACUUAUAGAUGGAUCCGCGCUGCAUUAGCUAGUUGGUAAGGUAACGGCUUACCAAGGCAACGAUGCAUAGCCGACCUGAGAGGGUGAUCGGCCACACUGGAACUGAGACACGGUCCAGACUCCUACGGGAGGCAGCAGUAGGGAAUCUUCCGCAAUGGGCGAAAGCCUGACGGAGCAACGCCGCGUGAGUGAUGAAGGUCUUCGGAUCGUAAAACUCUGUUAUUAGGGAAGAACAUAUGUGUAAGUAACUGUGCACAUCUUGACGGUACCUAAUCAGAAAGCCACGGCUAACUACGUG
rnacentral:rRNA from 1 species